UCCGCUAGGGCGGGGAAGUCAGUUGUGAAUUCUUUUUAAAUCCAGUCCAGCUUCAAAAGGGAGAGAAACCCUUGGUAGAGCGAAAGGGCGAAUGCUGGCUUGAGGAUACUUUUCAGUAGGAGGGAUCCGUAUGAAAGCAAGGCCUAUCGAUCCUUUGAUGGGAGAGCUCUAUUUUUACUGCUUCCCGCAAGAG
rnacentral:ncRNA from 1 species